UACGUAGGGGCCGAGCGUUGUCCGGAGUUAUUGGGCGUAAAGGGCGCGUAGGCGGCCUGAUAAGUAGGGGGUGAAAUCCUGCGGCUUAACCGCAGGGCUGCCUUCUAAACUGUCAGGCUUGAGCACAGUAGAGGCAGGUGGAAUUCCCGGUGUAGCGGUGGAAUGCGUAGAGAUCGGGAAGAACAUCAGUGGCGAAGGCGGCCUGCUGGGCUGUUGCUGACGCUGAGGCGCGACAGCGUGGGGAGCAAACAGG
rnacentral:rRNA from 1 species